UACGUAGGGGCCUAGCGUUGUCCGGAAUUAUUGGGCGUAAAGAGCUCGUAGGCGGUUCGGCAAGUCGGAUGUGAAAUCUCCACGCUUAACGUGGAGGGGCCAUUCGAAACUGCUGUGACUCGAGUCCGGUAGGGGAGUGUGGAAUUCCCGGUGUAGCGGUGAAAUGCGCAGAUAUCGGGAGGAACACCAGUAGCGAAGGCGGCACUCUGGGCGGGUACUGACGCUGAGGAGCGAAAGCGUGGGGAGCGAACAGG
rnacentral:rRNA from 1 species